CAACCUGAUGAGAAUAAUUUGCGAUUGAUUCCUUGUUGAUGGCCACAUCGCCUGUGAGCUAUAUCUCCUGGAUACAUGAAAGUCCAUUCUUACAUAUUCUGAAU
rnacentral:snoRNA from 1 species